GACGAACGCUGGCGGCGUGCUUAACACAUGCAAGUCGAACGGAAAGGCCCUGCUUUUGUGGGGUGCUCGAGUGGCGAACGGGUGAGUAACACGUGAGUAACCUGCCCUUGACUUUGGGAUAACUUCAGGAAACUGGGGCUAAUACCGGAUAGGAGCUCCUGCUGCAUGGUGGGGGUUGGAAAGUUUCGGCGGUUGGGGAUGGACUCGCGGCUUUCAGCUUGUUGGUGGGGUAGUGGCUUACCAAGGCUUUGACGGGUAGCCGGCCUGAGAGGGUGACCGGCCACAUUGGGACUGAGAUACGGCCCAGACUCCCACGGGAGGCAGCAGUGGGGAAUAUUGCACAAUGGGCGGAAGCCUGAUGCAGCAACGCCGCGUGCGGGAUGACGGCCUUCGGGUUGUAAACCGCUUUCGCCUGUGACGAAGCGUGAGUGACGGUAAUGGGUAAAGAAGCACCGGCUAACUACGUG
rnacentral:rRNA from 1 species